AAUGGAGAGAUGCUUUGACUUAUGUGGCUAAUUUAUCUGGUUCGCAUUUGCAGGACAGGCAUGAGGCAAUAUUUAUCCAAGAGAUUGUUGAAGAAAUAUGGACUAGGUUGAGGCUCUCAUUCUCAUAUGUUGCUAAGGGCUUGGUUGGAAUAGAUUCACGUUUCCAAGAAAUCAAUUGUUGUUUAGGUAAAAGGUUGGAUGAUGUUCGCAUUAUAGGGAUUUGUGGGAUGGGUGGCAUUGGUAAAACAACUAUUGCUAGGGUUGUUUAUGACUGCUUUUCCUAUAAAUUUGAAGGUAGCAGCUUUGUCGCAAAUAUCAGAGAGAUUUCUGAAAAAUUUGGUUCAUCUGCUUUAGAAGAGCAACUUCUUUCACAAGCUCUAAGGGAAAAGAAUAUGAACAUAUUGGACAUUCAUCGAGGAAUCUAUUACAGGCUGCAGAGUAAAAGAUUUCUUAUAGUUCUUGAUGGUGUAAAUGAAUUAGAACAAUUAGAAACAUUAGCAGGUGAUCAUGAAUGGUUUGGUCCUUGAAGUAGAAUCAUUAUAAUCACUAGAGAUGAACAUCUGCUGAUUGCUCGUUGUGUGGAUAUAAUAUACAGGGCCAAGAGCUUAGUUUCCAAGGAAGCUCUUCAUUAGUUUGAAAGCCUUUAAGCAAAACCAUCCUGCUGAAGAAUAGAUAGAGCUUUCUAGGAGCAUUGUAAGCUAUGCUGACGGUCUUCCAUUAGCCCUUGUAGUUUUGGGUUCUUAUCUCAGUGGUAGAAGUGUAAAUGAGUGGAAAAGUGCACACAAAAAGCUUAAAGAAAUUCCUGACAGGAAAAUUUUUGAUGUACUCAAAAUAAGUUAUGAUGGUCUGGAGGAAACAGAGAAGAACAUUUUCCUUGAUAUUGCAUGUUUCUUUCAUUUGAGGAAAGUAACCCAAGUGACUGAAAUACUAGAGGCUUGUGAUUUUUACCCAGAAAUUGGACUUCGAGUUCUGGCUGAUAAAUAUCUCAUUUCAAUUGACAAUGACAAUGAUAGGUUAUAUGUCCACAGUUUGCUAAAAGAAAUGGCUCAGGCCAUUGUUCACCAAGAAUCUCUCAAAGAUCUGGGCAGACGCAGUAGGUUAUGGCUUUAUAAUGAUAUCCAUCAUGUACUUGAAAGGAAAAAGGUAAGUGACCAUAAAAUUAUAUUGGUUAUAUGUAAUGCUUGUAUCAGUUCAAGAAUUUAACUUCUGCUUUACUUCUCUUUUCCUUGUUCUUGGUGAAUUUAUGGGGAACAGAAGAAGUGGAGGUUAUAUCCCGACAUUCAUCUGGAUCAAAAGAGAUAUCUGUGGACACUGAUGCAUUCGUAGAGAAACUUGAAUUUCUUCUUCCCAAAGGGCUUGAAUUUCUUCCCAAUGAUUUACAGAUACUUAACUGGCAUGGAUACCCUCUAAAAUCAUUGACAUCAAGUUUCAAAGCAGAGAAACUUGUUGAACUUGAUAUGUCAUAUAGUAGCAUUGAACUAAUUUGGAAGGAUAUAGUGAAUUUAGAUAAAUUGAAACUCUUCAAACUCAGUCAUUCAAAAAAGCUGACCAUAACUGCAGAUAUCAGAGGAGUUCCAAAUCUUGAGAGACUUAUUCUUGGAGAUUGUUCGAAUUUAUAUUAGCUUCAUCCUUCUAUUGGUGACCUCAAAAUGUUGAGUGUAUUAUAUCUGAAAGACUGCAGAAACCUGCAGAUGCUUCCAAGAAUAAUCUCUGGAUGGAGAUCUCUUUAAAGUUCUUUUGCUCAUUGGCUGCUCAAAAAUUGACUAAUUGCCAGAGAAUUUGGGGGAUUUUGAACGUUUGGAGAAACUUGACGCUGGUAAAACUGCCAUAAUAGAGGCGCCUUCAUCCACAAGCUUAAGCAAUACCAACAUGAACAUUGAAAUCUAGGGGGAAAUGUGUGAGAAGACACACUUGUUGGAACUGGUUUCGGUACUUGUGCCAGCAACAGGCACAAGUCCAUAAGUUUUUCAUUACCUUCCCUAGUAAGUUUAUCGUCUCCGACUGGACUUGAUUUAAGUUACUGUAAUCUCACUGAAGAAACCAACCCAAAUGAUUUUCGCCAUUUAUCUGCAUUUAGAAAUCUGAAAACUCUUAUACUGUCUUAUUGCCUGAAUCUUCAAGCUGUGACAGAGCUUCCUUCAAGCUUAGAGAAUCUAAGCACAUAUGAGUGCCCAUCGUUGAAAAACUUUGGUGAUCAAGUAUGUCACAAUUUUGGAAAUUCUACCUUCAAAUUUGUUUCAGAUUGCUCGAGAAUCAAGGUGAUGAAGAUGUGGCAAUUUUAUUGCUAAAACAUCAUUUUUCUUGUUAGCAAAAGUCAGGAUCUUAUUAUGUCGCUCAACUUCGCUGAGAACCAAGAAAUCAACAAUCCACACAGUGCAAUGCUAGCCAGUUCUGUCCGCUCAAAGAUGAGUAUCCUUUAUAAGGAUCUUUCUUAUACUCGUUUUGUCAUGCUGAGACUUAUUGCUUUUCUGCCUAGGAAUUGAAUUCUAGAUUGGUUCAGAUAUCGGACUACGAGCACUUCAUUAGCAAUUCAGUUGCCUCUUAAUUUGCACAAUAAUUAUACAUUCUUAGGAUUGGCUAUUUGUGCUACUUUAGAAGUCCAAAAGCAUCAUAGAGAGGAACAAAGAAAGAUGUCCAGUAGCUUCCACUGCUUUUGCAGUAUAUUACAAGUCCUUCAGAAUAUGAUUAUAGGUGUAGGUUUUAUAUGUUUUCUGUUGAAAGAAAAUGCCUAAUUUUAGGCAAAGAGUGUUUCUUCAGUGGAGACAGAUUGGCAAUGUCAACUCACCUAUGGCUUUUCUUUAUACCAUUUGACAAACACUUUCCAAAGAGGAAACAGAGUCGCAUUGAGGCUUACUUUAGACUUGAGGGUUCAGGUCUUGAGUUCAAAGAGUGUGGGGUUCGCCCUGAUUUCUUGAAAGAUGUAGAGUUCGUUCAAGCAAUGUUCCAAGGCCUCGAUAGCCCUCAGUUAGAAGACUUUACCAUCUUACUUAACCAUCUUGUACUAACAGCAGCUAGUGGAAGUGGAAGUAGCUCUUUUGUUGAGGAAAUUUUUUUUACUGAGAUUAAGAAUAUUCAAUUGAUUCCAUGAUUGAACUUAAGAACUGAGACAUCCAAGAAAACAACGCCGGUGCCUAAUCUUUUCCAGUUUGAUUGUUUUUACUUCAGACAUAUUUGAUCGAUCAGCCAAUGGGGCACACCCUUGUAGCCCUUGCACCUUAAGCCUCUAUAAGAGUUUCCAGUGAGCAAGUCCAGGAUUUGUUGGAAAUCUGUUGACUACCACAACUGUAUAGCACAUGAAAAGACCAUUUAAUAUUUCCAGGAGAAUUGGUUUUCACUUCUUUCAUCAGAUAAUUCAUUUUUAGUCUUGAGGGCUUAAUUGAUUUGAAUAACAGUUUAAACAAGAACAAUUUCACAGUUUCCUUAAUGCUUGUAGACAUUCAUGCAGA